AGCAGGGUCCCCAGGCUUGCAGUUCCAUUCUGACCAAUAGCAGCCAUCAAUCGGAUUUUUCCAAGGACCAUCUGACUGAGAAGAAUCUGAACACCUUGUAUCACCAGCAGACCCCCUCACCAACAUGGCUGCAACAACUGCAGGAAAAGAACCGAAGAGACCAAGCGUUGAGAAAGGCAGGUGAUGACGACAGUGAAAUGUCUGCGGAAUCUGCUACCAGCGACAGUGGAAGAGGAGGGAGUGAGGAGGAUAUAAAUAGCAACAGGGGAAAUCCCAUGAGUGAUACAGAAGAAACAAGGCAGGCCUAUAGCAACGAGUUUUCACCAGGGGAUCAAUCCCAUAAUUCCUCCAACAAGCACACCAACGUUUUACAUUCCAAUUACAGGAAACGGAUAUCCACCAAUGAGAAUUAUCCUCGAAACAUAAGUUUCAGUGACGACAGUGUGACUGCAAAUACCACAGUAGAUAGUGCUAAAAAUAGACACGGACGCUCUAGUCAAGACAAUCACAACCAGACAUCGUUGUCUCGGAUUCUGUGCAUGUCGGCCGACAGAGGGUUUGAGUUUUGUGAAUGGCCGCACUGCAUUUAGACACUCUGGAUGAGGCCACUCACAGUACUUUUGGUCUCCGUUACUCAUUACAAGACAUUGACGACACGGUCAGUGAAAGCGUUAUAACGCGAGACGAUGAUGGAAACUCCACAACCACAUCCGGAAGUUACACCAUCAAUCCGGAUGAACUCGUACACGAGAUUGACAAUUUGUUUUUCAAAUCCGAUGUUGUAGUCUAGUUGUGUCUAAAUUGACGACCAGAGAGUCCGUGUAAUGUGCCAAAAAUAUAUAUAUGCUGCCAUAUCUGUAGUUUGUUGCCAUGGUAAUGAAAUACGGGCCUACAGUUAUGUGAAGCGAGACUUUAAAAAGUCACACUAAUUUAAAGGUGCUGUUUGAUGUCAAAUGACAUCAUCAAGAUAAUCAUAGUCAGUUACUUCAGGGUUUAGAUAGCAUCCAUUUCCUCUUAAUUCUAUAAAAAUUUAAAUUAUUGUUAACAUUAAAUCAGUAUUCUCUUGUAUGGUGAUAACAUAGAUCUCUUAUCAUGAUGUAAUCUUCUAAGUACAAUUGAAUGUGCAUUGUUUCUCAUUGUUUUUCACAGAAUGCAAAGCAUUCUCUUGCAUACAUUGAUGUUUUAACGACUAAUCAUUCAUUUUCAUUUUACACACUCCUUUUUAUCAUAAAAAAUUUGUUAUACUCAUUUUAUGCAAUUUUAAUAUGUCAAAUUGCAGUUGUUGAAUUCUGUACAUAGUGAAUUGUAAAUUGAAUUAUAUUUGACUUUUUACAAUGAAACAAAAUAAAGAAAUUGAAAAAAUU
rnacentral:misc_RNA from 1 species